AGAGUUUGAUCCUGGCUCAGAACGAACGCUGGCGGCAGGCCUAACACAUGCAAGUCGAGCGCCCCGCAAGGGGAGCGGCGGACGGGUGAGUAACACGUGGGAAUUUUCCUCAAGGUACGGAACACCUCAGGGAAACUUGGGCUAAUACCGUAUGAUGCAGAGAUGCCAAAGAUUUAUCGCCUUGGGAUAAGCCCGCGUCAGAUUAUGUAGUUGGUGGGGUAAUGGCCUACCAAGCCUGUGAUCUGUAGCUGGUCUGAGAGGACGAUCAGCCACAUUGGGACUGAGACACGGACCAAACUCCUACGGGAGGCAGCAGUAAGGAGAUUCUUGCGCAAUGAGCGAAAGCCUGACGGAGCAACGCCGCGUGGGGGAUGACACCUUUCGGGCGUAAACCCCUUUUCUUGGGGANGAAGCAGUGACGGUACCCGAGGAAGAANNCCCGGCUAANUACGUGCCAGCAGCCGCGGUAAUACGUAGGGGCCGAGCGUUGUCCGGAGUUACUGGGCGUAAAGCGCGCGCAGGCGGCUCGUCAANNNGACGUGAAAGCCCCCGGCUCAACCGGGGAGGGUCGUCGGGGACUGGCGGGCUUGAGGUCGGCAGGGGUUGGUGGAAUUCCCGGUGUAGUGGUGAAAUGCGUAGAGAUCGGGAGGAACACCCGUGGCGAAGGCGGCCAACUGGGCCGGACCUGACGCUGAGGCGCGAAGGCGUGGGGAGCGAACGGGAUUAGAUACCCCGGUAGUCCACGCAGUAAACGAUGCAGACUAGGCGUGGGGGGACUUGACCCCCUCCGUGCCGAAGCCAACGCGUGAAGUCUGCCGCCUGGGGAGUACGGCCGCAAGGCUAAAACUCAAAGGAAUUGACGGGGGCCCGCACAAGCGGCGGAGCGUGCGGUUUAAUUCGACGCAACGCGCAGAACCUUACCAGGGUUUGACAUGCACCUGCAGAGCCGUGAAAGCGGUUGGCCUUCGAGGGUGGUGCACAGGUGCUGCAUGGCUGUCGUCAGCUCGUGUCGUGAGAUGUUGGGUUAAGUCCCGCAACGAGCGCAACCCUCGUGGCUAGUUGCCGAUGUUUCUAGCCAGACUGCCGGUAGCAAGCCGGAGGAAGGUGGGGAUGAUGUCAAGUCAGCAUGGCCCUUACAUCCUGGGCUACACGCACGCUACAAUGGCCGGGACAAUGGGCUGCCAAACCGCAAGGUGGAGCGAAUCCCACAAACCCGGUCUCAGUUCAGAUCGCGGGCUGCAACUCGCCCGCGUGAAGGUGGAGUCGCUAGUAACCGCGGGUCAGAACUACCGCGGUGAAUACGUUCCCGGGCCUUGCACACACCGCCCGU
rnacentral:rRNA from 1 species